rnacentral:lncRNA from 1 species
CACGUAUCAAUAACGAUGUUGCUGUUAGAACAAUAAGUGUCGCUGAAAGUUUAAAGUAUUGUUAAAACAAAAAUCAAUAAGUGCCUGCAGAACGUGAACAUGAACAUGAACUUGAUUAUAACAGUAGAGAAUCUCCCUAGAAUGACACUACUAGCUACUACCAGGAUUCAGCAAUUAAAUUUACAGUGAGAGCCUUUUGUUCACUAAUACUCCACGUAAAUGUUGCCUUUGUGAGUUGUCUCUUCGUGCUUUCAAUACUUGCAGAAUCCUUAAUUCCACCUGCUCAUAACAAUUCCCAAAAAUAGCACCACACGCACACAACACAGUUUUUAAUUGUGUUGUUUUGCAGAAAUAAGAUAAUGCCUACCAUGGUUAACACGAUCGACCCCUUCAUUCCCUCCACCGUUCACCUUAAUAUGACAACUUCAUCAUGCUUCAAUGUCCUCUUAGCAUUUGCAAUCUGAUCAACACACAUUAUAUACCUACCUAGCAAAUGGAAGCAUUAGCUAGGCAACGGUACUUAUACAUUAUUCAUAUUAACUGAAGUAACAUAGCCAAGAUUUCUAAGAGCUGCUAGCUGUAAUAACGUCCAUGUUAGCUAUACAUAUUACAAAUCCUCAGUAUAAUCACCAAAAUUACAUAUUCAAAUAUAUAUGAUUCAGUAGAUUGCAAAUUCUUUUUUAUUUUAAUCUUUAUUAUAGGUUUGUUCGAGUUCUUCACAUACAGUGCCACCAAAAUCUUCAUAAAAGAUAGUGUGGUCACUCAAAAGAAUGAAAUUAUAGCUACGUAAGCUUCUGGAUGAUUACGCAAUUUAUACUAGGAUUAUCACUCAAAACAUGCAUAGGAAAUUGUCUAUGAUCAUACCAGACACCUUAAGGUCACACAGAAAUAGGUCCUGCAACAUAACUUGACCAAAUAACAACUCAUAGAACUGGUCUACAGCCCAUUUCAAUUUUCAAGCACGUAUGAUAAAUUUCAAAGACACUCGACACGUUUACUAGAUAAUAAUAAAUAAAUAAAUAAAUAAAAACUGAUGCUGGCAGUCUUAUAACCUUAAAAUUAACAACAAAUACAAUUUUAACCACCAAGAUGCUUAUACGAGAUUUAAGUUUGAUGCAUGUACUGAAAAUUUAACCUUCUCCUUAAUUACAUGUUCUACAUCAAACAAUGAUUAGAUGGCCUGGAAAU